rnacentral:lncRNA from 1 species
CUUUUAUGAAAUUUGAUUUUCCUUGUCCUCUGUAUCUUUCACCCUGCAUGAACUUCCAGCCCAGUUUCAGAUCCCCUGAAUUUGCUCCCUUUAGGAGGCUCCCUUUCGAAUCCUGGCAAUGGAUUCUGUUUUCUCAGCCGGCUGCUGCUGCCCACCGGAAGUCUGUUGGCCCCUUCCAUGACUCAGCACCUUAGAGAGGCAGAUGGCCGUGUAGGGAAAGUUAAGAUGGGCCACGCUGCUGUUGACAGGAAAGAAAGGGAGCAAACGCUGCCCACAGGGCAAGCUGAGACACCAAACUCUAAUACUGAAUGGAAAAAAACAACAGAUGAUGGGAAUCCUGUGAGGACGAGGAACAGGAGGAGGAAAGAAAAACAGAAGCCUUCUUGGGUAAGAACAGGAAGAGGUGAUCCAGAGUUUGCCACGUCAAGAACCCAAGUUCACAUCGUAGGUGCCAGACCACAAGCACUGGGACCUGCUUCUAAGAGAGUUAUUGUUUCACAAGCCAGCCUUCAGGAAGACAGGCAAGAAGACUGUCAUCAUGAUGCAACUACUGGGAGCCCUUGCCAUGGGGCCAGUUACUGGGGAUCCCUGCAGUGA